CUCAUUUAAAAUUUUGUUUAUUUUUCUCUCUCUUCAGGAUAGUUACCUUGGUGAUGAGUUUAAAUCUCAGAUUGAUGUGGCCCUGUCGCAGGAUUCAACUUACCAGGGGGAACGCGCAUAUCAACAUGGAGUGACAGGGCUGUCACAGUAUUAGAGUGUUGAAGGAGAAGAGCUAAGCUUAUGUGGAGCUUAGUUCAACAGCAAUUUAUUCAGGGUAAUAAAAAUAAAAUAAAAUGGAUACCUGUUUUCCACUGCUAAAACUGAAGCGACUCUGUGAGAGCAACAGGAGAGAGAGGGAUAAAAAGAGAGAAACCAACGGAGAGGAGAAAGACGAGCGAGAGAGCGAAAGAGAAAGAAGAGAGCCCACUGCUAGCUCACUGAGGCAAGGAGACUGACCGGAGAUGGGAAGAGAAGCACCGGAGGACCAACUGGCACCUCACUGGGAGGGAGAACUAACUCGCCCUGGAAGAACUGAGUGGUCAGCGAAGUUCCCUGUUCCCUCCCCUGCCACCAACACACCCACUGAGAAAGAGAGGAAGGGUCUUAGAAGAAUCAUUUCAUUCCGUUCGUUCGCAUUGCAAGCAGGGUUUCACAGUUAGAACAGGUGGGGAGAGGAAAACACCCAUCUCAGAGUUGUUCAUGUACCAAUCUCUCCGUUUUUUGUUUUCAAGAGAAGGAAAGAAGGAAGGAAGGAAGGAAGGAAGGAAGACCUUGUUGGCCUUUUUAGGAGCAAGCACACCAUCCAAGAGAAAACGUCCUGAAGCUUGUGGGGAAGCCAGCUGUAACUGGUACUCGACUCUGAGAUGUGGGGGUUUUGCUGUCCAAGAUCUGGCUUUGAGCUUCGUGCGGCUUCACCCACAGCCCGAAUGGCAAAGAUGGGGUGGUUCUUUUUUUCUUUUCUUUUUUUUUUAAAGAAAUUCUUUCAAAGAAGCACUGGACAUUUUUUUAGAAGUUUGUCUCUGAAAUUUGGUAGUGGACCUGGAGGAAAAUCCUUGUUUUGAGAUGCAUAAAAAAACCAACCAACCAACCGUAAAAGAUACAUAUAUAUAUCUAUAUCUGUACGUUUAACGCAAGUUAGAAUACAAAUCUCUUCUGUGUGAUUUCAGUCAAUCAAACUCUUCUUGGGGUAUCUUGCAAGGAAGCCGAUUGGAUCCUGCCAGUGCAGUGGAGAAAUCAGAACGGUGUUGUCAAUUUUUAUUGGUUCCUGCCUGGGCUCUUCUCUGGGCUGUUGGUUUAAGGUAUCUGCUUUACAAAAGGGAGAGGAGUAUUUUGUGCCCUUUGGCCCCUGAGAAAGAAGAACGCUGGGAUUGACCUGCCUUUUUUUAUUAGUUGCUGCCGUCAUUGGGAAAACUGUAGUGGAAACAGGGGAUUAUAUUGGUUUUGAAGUAAAGCUUCUCUGAUGAUAUAUUAAGAUAGUUUGUCUGGGGAGGAAGAGCAGGCAGAUAUUUUAAGGGUGGCCACUCUGGGGCAAAAAAUCUAUCUUUGGCAUGAAGGGUAUUUUUUUCUUGACGUUCAGCUGUGGAAUGAGCAUCAGAAGUUUAAACGAAGCUGGAGACCACGUGAAGGUGCAGGACCCUCAGUCAGGCUCCUUUGAUUUAUCAUUUCAAAUCCCAACUGGAAAAGGGCAAUUUAUGAAAGAAAGUAAGAAAGGAAGGAAAAAAACACCCAUGGAAAGUCACCUUGGCUCACAGCAGAAAGCAUGCAUAUCUGCAUUAAAAGUAUUGAGAACGCUGGCCUGUUAGCCUAUGAUUGGUUUGAUUUUUCUUGCCACCAAAGGUGGAGUUCCUUUAUCCGAGACAGUUUGACCAACUGCCCAGUUGUGGGAUUUAAAAAAACCCCAAACAAAAUGAAUUUAGGUUUCUUUUCCAAUCAAAAGGGCUCUAAGCGUCCAUUUUAACUUUUUGUAUAUGUUGAGGAAUCCCCCUAGCUUUACAUGAAUGAACUUUAGAACCUCUUCCUUUUUUAUUUUAAAAAUUUGGACAUUUGUAUAAUGUUCAUUCCCACUUUUGCCCCACUGCCCUGCCCUCCAAAACAAAACAAAAAAACCAAACCCUCAACACCGUUAUGCAAGAAAGCCUAUCUGGCUUCUUUUGCCCAUUUAGCAUUCACUGGGCCUUGCUUUAUAUUGCAGGUUUUGGAAGAGGGGAACCCAUGAAUUGAAAAUCUGCAAUUGUUCUUACUAAUUGAAAACGUCUCCAGAGUUUAGACUUCUACCAUGUGUAUGGGAAAGGGAGACAGGCCACCUUCCUGCCUGAAACGUGGAAUCUUUAUUCCGACUGUUGGAGAACUGCUUGUUAAUUUCUUUUCUUCUACCAUCCCCUUCGCUGUGUGGCUAUGUAGAUUUUUGAGCUAGACUAAACGCUAAACCUCUUUGUGCAAUGCAAUCCACUAAGUAAGUGUAGCUCCCUCGUCCUUCCACUGUCUUCCUAACCUCCUUCCCCUUCCCUCCUCACAUUUCACUUAGGUAGCAAUGCUUGCCUCUUCGUGUUGAUUUCCCCCCCCCCCACUUUUGUAGAGGUUAUAAAAUGCUGAGUUUCAGUGCAAAACCCCACCAGAACAUCAGUGCUAGCGCGGUGCUGAUUUUUUUUUCUGUCUCAGUUUGUUUUAAAAUCUGUUUCUCAUCAAAUUAAUAAAAAACGCUUGCAUUCUG